rnacentral:rRNA from 1 species
UUCCGGUUGAUCCUGCCGGACCCGACUGCUAUCAAAGUGGGACUAAGCCAUGCGAGUCAACGUAGCAAUACGUGGCAUACGGCUCAGUAACACGUAGUCAACAUGCCCAGGGGACGAGGAUAACCUCGGGAAACUGAGGAUAAACCUCGAUAGGCCAUGAUUUCUGGAAUGAUUCUUGGCUCAAACCUAUAUGGCCCCUGGAUUGGACUGCGGCCGAUCAGGCUGUUGGUGAGGUAAUGGCCCACCAAACCUAUUACCGGUACGGGCUCUGAGAGGAGGAGCCCGGAGAUGGGCACUGAGACAAGGGCCCAGGCCCUAUGGGGCGCAGCAGGCGCGAAACCUCUGCUAUAGGCGAAAGCUUGACAGGGUUACUCUGAGUGAUUUCCGCUAAGGGAAUCUCUUGGCACCUCUAAAAAUGGUGCAGAAUAAGGGGUGGGCAAGUCUGGUGUCAGCCGCCGCGGUAAUACCAGCACCCCGAGUGGUCGGGACGAUUAUUGGGCCUAAAGCAUCCGUAGCCGGUUCUGCAAGUCCCCCGUUAAGUCCAGCUGCUCAACAGAUGGGCCGCGGAGGAUACUACAGAGCUAGGAGGCAGGAGAGGCAAGCGGUACUCAGUGGGUAGGGGUAAAAUCCGUUGAUCCAUUGAAGACCACCAGUGGCGAAGGCGGCUUGCCAGAAUGCGCUCGACGGUGAGGGAUGAAAGCUGGGGGAGCAAACCGGAUUAGAUACCCGGGUAGUCCCAG